rnacentral:rRNA from 1 species
CCUACGGGUGGCAGCAGUGGGGAAUAUUGCACAAUGGGGGAAACCCUGAUGCAGCGACGCCGCGUGAGGGAAGAAGUCUUUCGGUAUGUAAAGCUCUUUCAGGAGGGAAGAAAAUGACGGUAUCUGUCUUAGAUGCCCCGGCUCACUACGUGCCAGCAGCUGCGGUGAUACGUAGGGGGCAAGCGUGUUCUGGUUUUACUGGGUGUAAAGGGCUCGUAGACGGCAGCACAAGUCUGGAGUGAAAUGCCGGGGCUUAACCCCGGAACUGCUUUGGAAACUGUGCAGCUAGAGUGCAGGAGAGGUAAGUGGAAUGCCUAGUGUAGCGGUGAAAUGCGUAGAUAUUAGGAGGAACACCAGUGGCGAAGGCGGCUUACUGGACUGUAACUGACGUUGAGGCUCGAAAGCGUGGGGAGCAAACAGGAUUAGAUACCCGGGUAGUC